rnacentral:rRNA from 1 species
GACGAACGCUGGCGGCGUGCUUAACACAUGCAAGUCGAACGGAAAGGCCCUGCUUUUGUGGGGUGCUCGAGUGGCGAACGGGUGAGUAACACGUGAGUAACCUGCCCUUGACUUUGGGAUAACUUCAGGAAACUGGGGCUAAUACCGGAUAGGAGCUCCUGCUGCAUGGUGGGGGUUGGAAAGUUUCGGCGGUUGGGGAUGGACUCGCGGCUUAUCAGCUUGUUGGUGGGGUAGUGGCUUACCAAGGCUUUGACGGGUAGCCGGCCUGAGAGGGUGACCGGCCACAUUGGGACUGAGAUACGGCCCAGACUCAUACGGGAGGCAGCAGUGGGGAAUAUUGCACAAUGGGCGGAAGCCUGAUGCAGCAACGCCGCGUGCUGGAUGACGGCCUUCGGGUUGUAAACCGCUUUCGCCUGUGACGAAGCGUGAGUGACGGUAAUGGGUAAAGAAGCACCGGCUAACUACGUG